GUCUACAGCCAUGCUACCCUGAACAAGCCUGAUCCUGUCUGAUCUUGGAAGUUAAGCAAGGUCGGGCCUGGUUAGUACUUGGAUGGGAGACCACCUAGGAAGACCAGGUGCUGUAGAAG
rnacentral:rRNA from 1 species